AAUACCAUCCUCAUUUCUCUCCUACCUCUCUCUCUCGGAACGAGCUCCUCUCUCUCCGUCCAGCCUCAACUCUCCAGCCCACCUCCGUUUCUUCCCCGUCUCCGGCUGCGCACGGAUGCUGUUCCCGGCGACGAGCACCACCUCUUCCAACAACCCCAUGAGAAUCCUCUCGCAGCAAGUCUGGUGGCUAUUCCUCGAUUAUGCAGGAUUAGGAGGGCAGAUCCACCCACAAGAUUGAUUUGGAGCAAAGACUCUGUUCGUGAAGACAAGUUCAUGUUCUGAUUCUCCUCUUGAGUCUUGAUUUCUGGAAUUUAUUGACCCUUUCCAAUAUAAUUCUGCUAAAGAUUCCCUGUUUUUCCUUGUUUUCGUCAAGUGAUUUCCUCUUGAAUCUUGGGAUUUCUUACCCGAUCCGAAUGGUUGAAUGCUCAUGAUUUUUUGUAUUGUUCAGAUCUGAUUUGUGUGUGUUCGUGAUCCCUCCUUACCCAUGUAUGGUGCUGGUCUGUUGCUGCAACGGUGGAGGAGUGCUGAAUAUGCAAGCGCUUUUGUUUUCUCUCAUGAACUGAUCCAAAUCCAAACUGUGCGAUCCAUCUGUGUGCUUGUUCACGAACUCGAAUGAAUCUGGAUUUUUUUUUAUUCAUGCUUAUGAUCACAGAGUAAUUAAAUAGUCCCAAGUUUCUUAUUCAAAUCGGGAUAAAAUUGAUUUGUUCAGCCCAUCACCGAAUCGUGAGGAUGAGCAAGUAGUAAGGUUCAGGAAUUACCAUACCGGCAUUGGCGCAGGGUGUUUUCUACAAGUGUGUAUCUACUGACUGGUCGUGGAAUGGAGUCUGCCGUUGGUACAUGAUCCAAGGGCUAAGAACAUGGAUUUUCAGAUUUGCAGAACUUGUCCAUUUUCACCUGAUAUGUCCCCGUAGUAGAUCCGUUGGUGGGGACUCCUGCUUGCCUUCCUCCGAGAGAACCCCAAAACCCUACCCCGCGUCACCCGGCAUCCUGCACACGAAUCCGGCCGACACCACCUCUCCCCCAACGCCCUGCCCAGAUCAUCUCUCCUCGACUCACGCCGUACAACGUGCCGCCAAUAGAGCCCCUUCCGCCUCCCUCCAGAUCGCCUGUGCCGGCAAAGGACGCCGCCCCGACACCUCAUACCCGCGUCUGCGAUGGUGCCUAAUAUAGCUACCCAUGCCGCCCACCCUACCAGCCCCUCCCUUAUGCUCGCCAACGACGGCGAAGGCCGCCGCCGCGACACAUCGGAAGCGGUUCCGACGACCCCGUGCCCCGUCAUCACCCGCGUAGAGCUCCAACUGCGGCGAGUUACCAACGAAGGAAGUUCUGGCCGGCGUGACCUAGCAGAUCUAAGACUCUAACCCCAAUCUUCUAUAUCUUUGACCUCCUCUUCUGUAUCUCAUCUCUGCAGAUUCGUGGAGAGUAGAGAUGUUCCCCGUGGGAGAGGAGAUAUGGAAGUUCGGCGAUUUUGGUAUGCGGGAUGACCGGUGCUCAGCGACCAGGGACUGUAAAUUUUAUGAGAAGUCCACGCGAGUUGUACAUUGCAACCAUCGAUUGGAGAAGGAUUGGCGACCAAGGACGGGAUUUUCUUGCAUUCUGUCAGAGAGACAACAUGAAUAGGAGGUUCUACUCUCUUCGGUCCUUUUUCACUUGGCAAAGUAGACUCAUUUCAGCUGAUCGAGCAAUCUCUUUGCUACACGCAGCCGCCGGAGCAGGGAAAGAGAUACAUCAUGACGCUGAAGAGGACGAAUAUGAGGAAGAUGGGGAUAGCGCACAGGGUGGGUUUGGUAAGGUGAUACUAACAUGCUCUUGUUGCUCUGUAGUUUCAUUGAAUACUACUUUUUUCGGUCAACAAAGAUGCCCAUGGUCAGAAUUUAUAUUUGCCAUUAGCUUUUCAGUUUCCACAAAUUAAGAGUGCACACAUGUUCAAAUUGUGUUCUUUUAACCCCUAUUUCUCUCUUUCCUGGUGUAGGUUUUAUCGUUUCCUUUCUCGAGAGAUUCGGUAUGUCGGGUGCUCAUAUUUUUAUUGUUCUCUUGUUCAAACCCAAUGAAAAAUAUUUAUGCCGCUGAACUAAGCAUAAGAUUGACUUUCUAAAUGCGAAAAUUAAUUUUAAUAUGUGUCAAUGGUGUUUCGUAUCAUUCCUAAUGCAUCUCUGAUUGAGAUAUGGACCUUGCCAUUUUUUUCUUUUAAACUUUUAUAUCAGUUUGUGAUUUCAGAGGUUUAUCUGUAACUCGUGAGUAUACUAUGGUCAUUGUAUGCAAUCUUUAUUUAUCGUAUGCCAUAAUAGAUAAUAUUGGUCAACUAUGUAUACAUUUUGACAUUAGGUUUCAUUUUACCAUUUAUGUUCUUUAAUGUUUGGUGUAUCCUUCUAGAUGACCAAGUUCCUUUCAGAAUCUGCUGCCUUUGCAUUCUGAUGUUCCAUGUUAGUGGUCAUAUGCAUUGGGCUACUGGAGAUUAUUCUCCGAUGGAGUUCUAUAUAGGGUGCAGGGCUCCCAGAAUAAUCUCAUCACUAGCAGCAUUUGAAGGUCAAAAACGUGUGCAUACUGCAGUUUGCAUAAGCAGCAGACCUAGAGGAUCGGGUGUAGGGCUUGAGCUAACGAAUAGCCAUCUAACUAUAAGAGGCAUUUUCUUUCAUUAUUAACUGAAAUAUUCUGUUGCAUUUGAUUAGUAGUGAUGGGUUGCUGGUAGUUGUUGUUUAGAAUCUAUGCUAUUGAGACUACCACUGAUGGUGCAUUACAUCUGUUUUUAGCCUUAUUUAAAGUGUUGUUAUAGCAUACAAUGGAAAUGGGCUGUUACAGUGUAGUUCACAUAAGCAUGGUUGCUUAUUCCUAACUCCUGUGGCAUUCUGAUUUUUCGUCACCUCUAAAUUUUAUGGCGGGAUCCGAUUCACUGCAUGGUGAUAUGGAUGAAGGAAAAGAGUCGAGCAGCGGUUGGUUAAACAAUUAUGAGAGAAAACAGAUUUGGUAUUUGCGGAAAUCAGAGCAAAUAUAAGAUUAGACGCGAAUCCGUUCGGACGAGAUGCUGGGAAGCGGCAGCGGAGCAUGCUAAUGCGGUGGACGACUAGCGUCGCGCCGAUGCGCUCGUUGGGGAAGCAGAUGCAUCAGGUAAGCGGGGGUGACAAGGAACGUGCGGGCCAUCCUUCUCCAGAUCCUGUGGCGCCAUCGUGACGUGUAGCCACAGGUCCAACCAGGUGGGGAAUAGAACCGUGGCAGCGGCUGGUCCAACACGGUCCUUGGCCUCGCUGACGUCGGCGCCUUGCUUUAUGUGUGCUACCGUGAGGCAUUCGCCACCCACGACGACCUCAUCCUCCUCCGGCGAGGACCUCCUACCGGACUGGUAAGCCAUUCUCCUCAAGUGCCCUGCUUUGGAUUUAAUCGUUCCCUUAGAUGUUAGAUCCAUGGGUAUAGGGUCACUGAGCGGGGACGCCUCGAAGAAGAAGCCGUUCUCUGCACACCUGAAGCAACUUACGGCAUGAAGUUUGUGGGGAUAUCCAACUCUAUGUUCCUAAUAGCACCCGGCAGGAGCUACUCCAUGUUAUUUCACAAUUUGUUUCUUCAUGGAUAUGUCUUGCAUGGAUACGGAUGGAUUGUACCUUUGUUUUCACUGAUUGGUUCUUUACAGAUAUGUCCUGGUUGGUAAUGGAUGCAGAACGUGCUGCAACUCAACUGAAUCCGACACCUCCUCAUUUUCUUCUUCUGAACUUCUUCUGGAUUAUUGUUCCCCCAUUCCUGAUUGUGAUCCAUUUUCCGACCUUAUCUUAAAUCAUGCCUCAUGUUAAUUGGCCUUCUAGAAGCAAUGGUGCUGCAGGUGAUUAAUGCUUUAAGUAUGGUUCUUAAGAAUCUGGUUCAGAACUAAAUGAGUUUCGUAUUUCUUGUCUGUAUAUCCUCACAAAUAUGUUGCAUGGGCCAUCGAUUCCGUGUUGGAGGUUUUCACUUCUGGAUGUCUUAUUGUGGACUUAAAAACUUACGCAGAAACAUUGCGUCAUCAGAUGAGCAGUGCAAAUAUCGGAGAUAGGCUCUAAAUGUUGCUCACUAUGAUUGUUCAUCCCAGAUGAAUGUACAUGUGCAGAACUUAGUGUACCUAUGUAGACAUCAAAUGUGAGCAAAAACAGAAAUGGAGACUGGACAUAUAUAUGACCCUCUUUUGGUGGAAAUCAGAAGUUUGAUAAGGACAGGCAAAGUGAGCCAUCCAAUCAAAUUGCGUGCAAAAUUUGAUAAGGGGUGUCAUAUGCUUAUAAUUUUUCAGAUUAAAAUUCCUAAAUUUAUAGAUACAUUAUUAAAUAGGUGUGAUGAUUUUGUUAUAUUUUGAAGCUAUCAAUUUUUCAAUGAUAUUUUACUUG